GCUGUAGCUCAGUUGGUUAGAGCGCCGGGUUGUGAUCCCGGAGGCCGUGGGUUCAAAUCCCAUCAG
rnacentral:tRNA from 1 species